rnacentral:rRNA from 1 species
AGCUCCAAUAGCGUAUAUUUAAGUUGUUGCAGUUAAAAAGCUCGUAGUUGGAUUUCGGGUGGGACGCAGCGGUCUCGCAUUGCGUUUGUACUGCUGCAGCCCUCCUUCUUGCCGGGGGCGGCCCAUCGGACUUCACUGUCCGGGGGUCAGAAUCGGCGAUGUUACUUUGAGUAAAUUAGAGUGUUCAAAGCAAGCUUACGCUCUGAAUAUAAUAGCAUGGGAUAACACGACAGGACUCUGGCCUAUCGUGUUGGUCUAUAGGACCAGAGUAAUGAUUAAGAGGGACAGUCGGGGGCAUUCGUAUUCCGUUGUCAGAGGUGAAAUUCUUGGAUUUACGGAAGACGAACAUCUGCGAAAGCAUUUGCCAAGGAUGUUUUCAU